rnacentral:rRNA from 1 species
GGUUAAGUUAGAAAGGGCGCACGGUGGAUGCCUUGGCACUAGGAGCCGAUGAAGGACGGGACGAACACCGAUAUGCUUCGGGGAGCUGUAAGCAAGCUUUGAUCCGGAGAUUUCCGAAUGGGGAAACCCACCACUCGUAAUGGAGUGGUAUCCAUAUCUGAAUACAUAGGAUAUGAGAAGGCAGACCCGGGGAACUGAAACAUCUAAGUACCCGGAGGAAGAGAAAGCAAAUGCGAUUCCCUGAGUAGCGGCGAGCGAAACGGGACCAGCCCAAACCAAGAGGCUUGCCUCUUGGGGUUGUAGGACACUCUGUACGGAGUUACAAAGGAACGAGGUAGAUGAAGAGGUCUGGAAAGGCCCGCCAUAGAAGGUAACAGCCCUGUAGUCAAAACUUCGUUCUCUCCUGAGUGGAUCCUGAGUACGGCGGAACACGUGAAAUUCCGUCGGAAUCCGGGAGGACCAUCUCCCAAGGCUAAAUACUCCCUAGUGACCGAUAGUGAACCAGUACCGUGAGGGAAAGGUGAAAAGCACCCCGGAAGGGGAGUGAAAGAGAUCCUGAAACCGUGUGCCUACAAGUAGUCAGAGCCCGUUAACGGGUGAUGGCGUGCCUUUUGUAGAAUGAACCGGCGAGUUACGAUCCCGUGCAAGGUUAAGCAGAAGAUGCGGAGCCGCAGCGAAAGCGAGUCUGAAUAGGGCGAAUUGAGUACGUGGUCGUAGACCCGAAACCAGGUGAUCUACCCAUGUCCAGGGUGAAGUUCAGGUAACACUGAAUGGAGGCCCGAACCCACGCACGUUGAAAAGUGCGGGGAUGAGGUGUGGGUAGGGGUGAAAUGCCAAUCGAACCUGGAGAUAGCUGGUUCUCUCCGAAAUAGCUUUAGGGCUAGCCUCAAGGUAAGAGUCUCGGAGGUAGAGCACUGAUUGGACUAGGGGCCCCUACCGGGUUACCGAAUUCAGUCAAACUCCGAAUGCCGAUGACUUAUCCUUGGGAGUCAGACUGCGAGUGAUAAGAUCCGUAGUCGAAAGGGAAACAGCCCAGACCGCCAGCUAAGGUCCCAAAGUAUACGUUAAGUGGAAAAGGAUGUGGAGUUGCUUAGACAACCAGGAUGUUGGCUUAGAAGCAGCCACCAUUUAAAGAGUGCGUAAUAGCUCACUGGUCGAGUGACUCUGCGCCGAAAAUGUACCGGGGCUAAACGUAUCACCGAAGCUGCGGACUGUUCUUCGAACAGUGGUAGGAGAGCGUUCUAAGGGCUGUGAAGCAAGACCGGAAGGACUUGUGGAGCGCUUAGAAGUGAGAAUGCCGGUAUGAGUAGCGAAAGAGGGGUGAGAAUCCCCUCCACCGAAUGCCUAAGGUUUCCUGAGGAAGGCUCGUCCGCUCAGGGUUAGUCGGGACCUAAGCCGAGGCCGAAAGGCGUAGGCGAUGGAUAACAGGUUGAUAUUCCUGUACCACCUCCUCACCAUUUGAGCAAUGGGGGGACGCAGGAGGAUAGGGUAAGCGCGGUAUUGGAUAUCCGCGUCCAAGCAGUUAGGCUGGGAAAUAGGCAAAUCCGUUUCCCGUGAAGGCUGAGCUGUGAUGGCGAGCGAAUUAUAGUAGCGAAGUUCCUGAUUCCACACUGCCAAGAAAAGCCUCUAGCGAGGUGAGAGGUGCCCGUACCGCAAACCGACACAGGUAGGCGAGGAGAGAAUCCUAAGGUGAUCGAGAGAACUCUCGUUAAGGAACUCGGCAAAAUGACCCCGUAACUUCGGGAGAAGGGGUGCUCUGUUAGGGUGCAAGCCCGAGAGAGCCGCAGUGAAUAGGCCCAGGCGACUGUUUAGCAAAAACACAGGUCUCUGCGAAGCCGUAAGGCGAAGUAUAGGGGCUGACGCCUGCCCGGUGCUGGAAGGUUAAGAGGAGCGCUUAGCGUAAGCGAAGGUGCGAAUUGAAGCCCCAGUAAACGGCGGCCGUAACUAUAACGGUCCUAAGGUAGCGAAAUUCCUUGUCGGGUAAGUUCCGACCCGCACGAAAGGCGCAACGAUCUGGGCACUGUCUCAACGAGAGACUCGGUGAAAUUAUAGUACCUGUGAAGAUGCAGGUUACCCGCGACAGGACGGAAAGACCCCGUGGAGCUUUACUGCAGCCUGAUAUUGAAUGUUGGUACAGCUUGUACAGGAUAGGUAGGAGCCUUGGAAACCGGAGCGCCAGCUUCGGUGGAGGCAUCGGUGGGAUACUACCCUGGCUGUAUUGACCUUCUAACCCGCCGCCCUUAUCGGGCGGGGAGACAGUGUCAGGUGGGCAGUUUGACUGGGGCGGUCGCCUCCUAAAAGGUAACGGAGGCGCCCAAAGGUUCCCUCAGAAUGGUUGGAAAUCAUUCGCAGAGUGUAAAGGCACAAGGGAGCUUGACUGCGAGACCUACAAGUCGAGCAGGGACGAAAGUCGGGCUUAGUGAUCCGGUGGUUCCGCAUGGAAGGGCCAUCGCUCAACGGAUAAAAGCUACCCCGGGGAUAACAGGCUUAUCUCCCCCAAGAGUCCACAUCGACGGGGAGGUUUGGCACCUCGAUGUCGGCUCAUCGCAUCCUGGGGCUGUAGUCGGUCCCAAGGGUUGGGCUGUUCGCCCAUUAAAGCGGUACGCGAGCUGGGUUCAGAACGUCGUGAGACAGUUCGGUCCCUAUCCGUCGCGGGCGCAGGAAAUUUGAGAGGAGCUGUCCUUAGUACGAGAGGACCGGGAUGGACGCACCGCUGGUGUACCAGUUGUUCUGCCAAGGGCAUCGCUGGGUAGCUAUGUGCGGACGGGAUAAGUGCUGAAAGCAUCUAAGCAUGAAGCCCCCUCAAGAUGAGAUUUCCCAUUCCGCAAGGAAGUAAGAUCCCUGAAAGAUGAUCAGGUUGAUAGGUCUGAGGUGGAAGUGUGGCGACACAUGGAGCUGACAGAUACUAAUCGAUCGAGGACUUAACCAA